UUUCUAUGAUACAUACUGGGGGUUUGAACCGACGGGAAACUACGACCGUGUGAAAUUGAUUUUGUUCCCUCCUUUAUUUCGCGCUCAAUGUCCUCAUAAUCUCAGAUACGAUCACCGACUCACCAUGGCAUUUUCAUGCUCUCAAACAUUCACCAUUUCAGAGCGUUAACCCUAAGUCACUGGGGAAGAAGGUGAAGAAACAAAUGCUCGACAUUCUCAGGGAAGGUUUGUGAGAUGCAAUGAUCUGCGAUUGAGCGCUGAAAAUUACGGUUUCUCCGGCAGCAGCGCCGCCACUAAGAACCUCUUCUUGCGGUGUUUGUGUGAUGUGCCAGUGCAGGAUGAUGUUGUACGCGAUCGACCAUUACCUGUCGCAGCAUUCGUGCGAGCUCGACUUCAAGAAUGGUCUUGCAGGUUCAUAUAACUAUAAAGAAGCUAAGGUCCAAUGGUAAAAUUGAAGAAUCCAAAUGAAUGUAAUGUUAAUAUAUGGUUAUUUUCAUUAAUUUCACCAUUCUUAAAUUUCAGUACUAACUUGCCUUUAUUUUGAUACAUUGGAACUGAUAUGACCAGUUCACAUGGAAUAUGGCCCUCUAUACUUUUCUCAUGUGCCCUGGUGAAAACUGUUGAGGAGUUGUAGGAUCUUGGUUACAAUUCCUCAGUUUCAGCUUUUCUCAUUGCAUUAAUUUCCAAGAGAACUGUGAGCAUAACACUGUGGGCUAAGAAAAUUGACAGCUUGUCUCACCCUAGUUCAUUAUCUAUGGUCCUGCUAAGAUGAUGCAGGUAAUGGAGUAUUCAGUGUCCAAUAAGGAGCAGAAGCAAAUUAUUUCUGAUGGUUCACCAAAUGACAGGCAGAGCAAGCAGGUCUCUGUACCCUCCAUGAGAACCCGGACUUAGGUUGAAAGCAUGUGUUUGAUUUGAAUUCUCUGUUUUCAGAAGUCAGGUGAUGAUGACUUGUGUUGUUGUAGCUUUACCACCACCUUGUAUAAUAGUUGCUUUUUACACAACAAGCAAGACAUUCUUUUUCUGAGAAGUGCUGAGUUUGUAGAUAAUUGUUGCUUCCUCAUUGAUACAUUAGAAAAUGCAUAAACAAUUUGAAUUCCUUUGUUCAUAAAUAAUGUGUUGUUAUGUUUUGUUUUCAAAUGAGUUGGUACAUUUUCCACCGGAUCUAGCCAAGGGCUAGAUAACAUUGUAAGCUAUACUUGUCAUAUAUGCCUUUCAUACUUUUCUUUGAUGUGUUUACAAUAUUAAUAAACCACUCUUUUAUAUAUUUUGCAGCAACAAUCUCCUAGUCAUCACCAAGCAAAGUAAAGAAAAGGGUGUGAUUGUGGAUUGUGGAUUGCAAUUUUCGUUCCAGUUUUGUCAUUUCUCUCUCGGAAUUUAAUCAGCAUUUUUGUGAACCGCAAGGGUGAAUAAUUUGACCUAAACCCACAUGAUAGUGCCACUGCAGAGAGCGGCACGGUGGCGCGCGAGAGACCCAACCCCAAAUAGAUUCCAAGGGUGCUAGAGCCUUAUAAAAACAGAUUCAAAUGUGCGUACCAGCCUCCAGUUCCAGGUGCAGUGGACUAAAUUGAUCUGGGAAAAAAGUUUUUCUACCCUCUUAUUUAGUGGAGGCCAUAUGCAUACAUCUAAAAGCCAGCUUGGACAAACUUUUCAAGUUUGUGAUUGAAGACACUGAUUUAAAUAGAUAUAUGUGUUGUCAUGCUCCCACUACAUGCAAGUACAAGGCUGGAAAAAAUUGAUGAGUACUUACUUCACUUGUGUUUGUGCAGCUAUACUCGCUACUUCGACCAGCUGUUGAUAUAGCAGAAAUAUUUCUUUGGCUCAUAUUGACGCUUUUUCAGUUAAUCUUUUUAUUUUAUUCUAGGGUUACCAUUUACAGCAAUUUUCUCUUUUAGAUCUCCUUUUGUUUCCGUUUUCCACAAUCUGGAAGAGGGUUUAGUAAAUAGUAUUUGUGAAGAGGAAAGGGGACAAUAUUUAGAAGUGAUCAUUUAUGUAUUUAUGGCAUAAUCUAGACCCAUUUGAUUGCAUACUAGACCCAUUUGAAGACAAGUUACAAGUAAUGUUGAUCUCAUGUUAGACA